rnacentral:rRNA from 1 species
GGAAUCGAUAACCGCUGAAAGCAUCUAAGCGGGAAGCGAGCCCUGAGAUGAGUCUUCCCUGGCACUUUAAGUGUCCUAAAGGGUUGUUCGAGACUAGAACGUUGAUAGGUUGGGUGUGUAAGCGCUGCGAGGCGUUGAGCUAACCAAUACUAAUUGCCCGUGAGGCUUAACCAUACAACACCGAAGGGGUUUUGU